GGAUCAACUAUUUUAUAAACUAUGUAUAAAACGUGAUACGAACGUAAGAAAAUUAAUGCACUCGUUAUUUAAGUUUCCAUUGCGAAAGAAGGAAAUCGUGUAUCGCUUAAGUUAUACGUAAUACGACCACAUAAUCCCUUUACAUUCCAGAAUGGGAUAAAAGUGAAAUCGCGGAAUGAAUGGAGGACUCUUUCCGGCUGGGGUACGCUAAUCGCCAGUCUCUGAAUCAUCACCGUGCUCGAAGAAGGAGCAAACGUUCCUUGGUCGCCGCUUAAAAAUCGCCGAGACGACGAUGAGACGCGUAAAAAUAAAUACUCGACCGUGCCCGCGCCGAAAAUAACCUGCACUCUUUCUGUCGGAUUAUGCGACUUAUCGCCGCUUCUAAGAAACCGCUUCCAUCCCCUCCAUCGAGCGUAUCACGCGCCCGGUAACCGAGCGAUUCGUGCGCGUUACACCUCAACACGAAGAAGUUUCUCGAGACCGGAAUACAGCAAUCGCUUUAUGGGAAGCGUGGCGCCGCCUCGCGUGCUACGCAUCACGUGACGGCCAGUGGAUAAGCAGCCAUCCCUGCACAUCGAAUCGAUGGUUUUCGAUAUUUUGUUGAUAUUUUAUAUCAAGGUGAAUCGCAAAUGCAACUCGCUAUUACGAGUCAAGAACCAUAACAAAAUAGAUCAUAAUUGAGUUGUCAUAAGAAGAUGAAGGUUAGCGGAUCAUUUAUUAAAUAAUAACGGGAAGAAUUCCAACUAUCCGAUACAGUCUACUCUAACGAUCAACAGACGAGA
rnacentral:misc_RNA from 1 species